UACGAAGGGGGCUAGCGUUGCUCGGAAUCACUGGGCGUAAAGCGUGCGCAGGCGGUUUUGUAAGCCAGGUGUGAAAUCCCCGGGCUCAACCUGGGAAUGGCAUUUGGGACUGCAAGGCUGGAGUGCGGCAGAGGAGACUGGAAUUCCUGGUGUAGCAGUGAAAUGCGUAGAUAUCAGGAGGAAUACCGAUGGCGAAGGCAAUCCCUGGCCUGCACUGACGCUCAUGCACGAAAGCGUGGGGAGCAAACAGG
rnacentral:rRNA from 1 species